rnacentral:tRNA from 1 species
AGGAUAAUAGUUUAAUUUAAAACAUUUAAUUUGCAAUUAAAAAAUAUUAAUUUAUUUAUCUUAAAU